rnacentral:tRNA from 1 species
GGGGAUUUAGCUCAGCGGUAGAGCACUUGCCUAGCAAGCACAAGGUCCUGGGUUCAGUCCCCA